AAUAGUAAAUUACAGUAGAAGUGUGGAACUGUGUCCUGCACUAACUUCCGGCCGGACAGCGUUCUGUGCGCGCGCUGUCAGUGUGCGCGUUCUCGCGAAGCUGAGUCGACUGAAGUGCAGCCCAUCUGAAGACUUAUCAAGACCGCGUAAUAGUUCACAUAUCCUCGACUGAAGCGAUGGCAACCGACUCGUGGGCUCUAGCUGUGGACGAACAAGAGUCUACAACCAAGACUAUUGGGAACUUGCGGAUUAUGGAAGCGGGAGAUGCAAAUUUACAUCAGACUGAUGAUAAUGGCGACAAAUCCCGAAAAAGGUAAAA